rnacentral:rRNA from 1 species
AUGGCGUUUGGGUCGAAACGUAAGUUAGCAGAUCGGAGUGACAUCCAGGAGGAUGACGUUGAUGAUGUUGAUCUCAUCAAUUCCGAUGAUGAGCGUAAUAGCGCUGAUGAACAAGAUGAAUCUGCCGAGCAUGGUACUGCAAAACCUGCUAAAUCCCUUCUAGAUGAGGUAUUUUUUCUUGAUGCACCUAAAGGGAAGAACUCUGGUGGACCAAGACCCUGGCGAUGCAAACAUUGUGAUAAGAAGUACACGAGUAGUUAUACAAGAAUUCAUCAGCACUUCUUUGGUGUUGGUCCUGGCAAGACGAAACAAAUUGCUCGCUGCUCUGUCGCAAGUGAUCGCGUCAAGUAUAAGAAAAUAUAUGAUAAGUAUCACCAACCUAAGAAAGUACAAGCUACAGGCUCGGCGCCUAAAAAGCAAUUAGUAUAA